AUCGUACCAACCAUCGACCACACAGGACCACACACCAGCGUGGAGCCGUGGAUUGGCGCUCUCUUUGUCCAGUAGAUCACUGACCCGGCGGCGGCGGCGGCUACCCGGCGCUCUCCGUUGUCCAUUCCGUCGCUCCCCGGUCCCCGCCAUCCCUGCUUUCCCCUUGAAUGCCCACCUCUGCUUCCAGCCUCCACAUCAAGCUCCAGUUCGUCCGCGGCUAAAGCCUCCGCGCCGGAAGUUCUGCGAUCGAGCGAGUUUCCGGGGCCCAUACCGAUGGCCCUGCUUCCUUCGGGCUCAGGCAGCACGCCGGUGAUCGCCGAGGUGGAGAUGAACGGCGGCGCCGACCAGAGCGCCACCACCGUACGAGCCACCGUCGUGCAGGCAUCCACAGUCUUCUACGACACCCCCGCCACUCUCGAUAAAGCAGAGAGACUGAUAGCAGAGGCUGCUGGAUAUGGUUCACAGUUGGUCGUGUUCCCAGAAGCUUUUGUUGGUGGUUAUCCUCGUGGAUCCACCUUUGGCUUUGGGAUCAAUAUUAGUAUGACUAAUCCAAAAGACAAGGGAAAGGGUGAAUUCCAGAAGUAUCAUGCAGCUGCCAUAGAUGUGCCUGGUCCAGAGGUGACAUGCUUAGCUGCUAUGGCUGGGAAAUAUAAGGUCUUUCUGGUAAUGGGGGUGAUUGAGCGAGAAGGUCACACACUGUAUUGUUCAGUGCUCUUCUUUGAUCCUCUAGGUCGGUACCUGGGUAAGCACCGCAAGCUGAUGCCGACGGCAUUAGAAAGGAUAAUAUGGGGAUUUGGAGAUGGAUCAACAAUUCCUGUUUAUGAUACUCCACUUGGAAAGAUCGGAGCCCUUAUUUGCUGGGAAAAUAAGAUGCCACUUUUAAGGACAGCACUGUAUGGUAAAGGUAUUGAGAUAUACUGCGCUCCCACGGCUGAUUCAAGGCCAGUGUGGCAAGCUUCCAUGACACAUAUCGCCCUGGAGGGGGGAUGCUUUGUGUUGUCGGCAAACCAGUUCUGCCGCAGAAAGGACUACCCUCCGCCGUCCGAGUACGCAUUUGCCGGUUUACGAGAAGAGCCUUCUCCCGACACCGUUGUCUGCCCUGGAGGCAGCGUUAUCAUUUCGCCGUCACGAGAAGUCCUGGCAGGUCCCAACUACGAUGGAGAGGCGCUCAUCACAGCCGACCUUGACAUGGGAGAGAUCGUUCGGGCCAAGUUUGCUUUUGACGUGGUGGGCCACUACGCUCGGCCUGAGGUGCUGAGCUUGGUAGUGGAUGACCAACCGCACCGGCCGGUGUCAUUCACCUGUGCUGCUGAGAAGACUCCGGCUGCCAAGAGCGACGGCACCGCAAAGCCCUGACGACCAUCAUCAGCUCAGUCACAAGCAGUUGUUUAUUAUCGAUAGUUUUCUUUUUGUGUGAAACGACUUCUAUCGAUAGCUUAAUAAGCCGAUGAAAUGUAAGCUCGGAUCGCCCGCAUGCCUGAUGCCCCUGUAAGUUACGCUGCUUGUAAAAUGCCUUCCGGAACAGUCAGCUGAUGCCCGUUCACCGUGUGAUGCAUCUGAUAUCC
rnacentral:rRNA from 1 species